AGAUGAGGUGUAAGCAAGCGUCACAUGCUAAGGGAUCUCUAGUCAUAUACAUUGUUCGGAACCAAGAAAACAUAAUUCAUUAUGUUGUCUUCCUUGUCCAACAUCUACUUCUGAGCAUGUAAUAGUUUAAUGAGUGUUCACAAUUAUGGACGGUGUCAAAGAUGAUAUAUUUAUAUGUGAAUCUCUCUUUCUUUAUUUCUUCCUAUUAAUUGCAACAUUGACCAAGGUCUACGUUUGUCCACCCACAACAAGUUUCAAUCAACAUUCUUUCUAUAUGUGAAGUCAUCACUUCCCAUAAGAUCAUUACAUGAUCUUUCAUGCUUUUGUUCUUUUAUUAUUCUUUUCUUUAGAUCAUGGCAUGAAGCAAGGCCCUUAACAAAAACA
rnacentral:lncRNA from 1 species